rnacentral:rRNA from 1 species
UAACUUUCAACAACGGAUCUCUUGGCUCUCGCAUCGAUGAAGAACGCAGCGAAACGCGAUAGGUAAUGUGAAUUGCAGAAUUCAGUGAAUCAUCGAAUCUUUGAACGCACCUUGCGCUCUCUGGUAUUCCGGAGAGCAUGCCUGUUUGAGUAUCAU